rnacentral:tRNA from 1 species
CAAGGUGUAGCUAUAAUCCCAAAGCAUUCAGCUUACACCUGAAAGAUGCCCUCAAUAGAUAGGGUCACCUUGA